rnacentral:rRNA from 1 species
UGGGGAAUCUUGCGCAAUGCGCGGAAGCGUGACGCAGCAACGCCGCGUGGAGGAAGACGGUCUUCGGAUUGUAAACUCCUUUCAGUUGGGACGAAGCUCAACGGGUUAAUAGCUCGAUGGAGUGACGGUACCUUCAGAAGAAGCCCCGGCUAACUACGUGCCAGCAGCCGCGGUAAUACGUAGGGGGCUAGCGUUGUCCGGAAUCAUUGGGCGUAAAGAGCGUGUAGGCGGUCCGGUAAGUCCGCUGUGAAAGUCGGGGGCUCAACCCUCGAAUGCCGGUGGAUACUGUCGGGCUAGAGUGCGGAAGAGGCGAGUGGAAUUCCUGGUGUAGCGGUGAAAUGCGCAGAUAUCAGGAGGAACACCUAUUGCGAAGGCAGCUCGCUGGGACGUAACUGACGCUGAGACGCGAAAGCGUGGGGAGCAAACA